GUAACGCUUUUAUCACAUAUUUACUCCCCUUACCGCUCUUCCAGUCAGGGUGGCUCAGUUUGAGAUCUCUGCAGGAGCGAGUUGGAUUCUUCUGGGAGCCAUCGGGGCUGCGCAGGUUCUCAAUCUGGUUGUUGAGCGACUUGAGCGUGGAAUCAACCUCAACAUCAUGCUGUCUGUGGGAGCUGGAAGCCUCAUCAGCCCUCAUGUACCUCAGAGGAUCGGGAGACUUCUCAGUCUGUCCGAGACCAGCGAAGGCGGACAUGUCUAUGCCAGGGCCUGGAGGGCCAGGAGGGCCAGGGGGCCCAGCAUUUCCAGGGGGACCCUAAAGAAGAUAAGAAAUUGGAAAAUGUUUAACUGAAGAAAUACUAAACAAAGUGUAGAGUAUAUGGACAAUGACGAUGCUACAUACAGCUGGGCCAGAUUCUCCAGAGCGUCCACGAGGUCCGGGUGGUCCAAUGGGGCCAGGCUGUCCAUUAGAUCCAUCUUUGCCAGCAGGUCCUGUAGGUCCAUGUGGUCCCUAAAGCAUCAGUGUGUGUUAAACCACAAGAAAAAGGGGGCAAUUUCUUGUGAUGAACUUUAAAGUUUAAAACUUUCAUCAUUUUCUGAUGAAGCCUAUCAAAUGUGCUUGCAGUUCCCCUGUAUUGCGUCAAUCACCUUCAGGCCUUUGCCUUAUUAUGCAUGAAUAUAAUUUGUAUAGUGACAUUUUAUUUCAUUUCUCUUAUCAUAACUCCUGUGCUAAACUAAUCUACAGGAGAUAUUACAGCCCAUUUUGGAUCUAAGCAGGAAUUCCUAUCUUAUCUGUCAGCCUCUUUUCCGCACACUGAAUAAUUACUUAAUGCCUGCACUGCCCAUCUUAUCUCACUGGUAGGUAAUUAAAGCCCUCGCACUUUGCUGUGCCCGUCUUCACCAAUUGGAGAUUGGAGAAUUGCACAGAGGCUGACUUCUGACCCCCAUUAAAACCCUCAAUAUCGUCAUAGUCAACGCUUUUGUAUGGGAAGUUUGUGAGACCCAUUUAUUUUCUUUUACGCAUACCUUAGCUCCGCUUGGUCCUGCAGGUCCAGCAGAUCCGGAAUCUCCAGCGGGACCCUGUUGGACAAGAUCAUAACACAUUGAAGAACAAAGAAGAUUAAAGACGCAGAAGUCAAGGCCAUGAAUUCCUUACGGGAGGUCCAGGAAGACCCUGCAAACCGGUGAAUCCUCUGUGACCCUUCUGUCCUCUCUCACCAGUCUCACCACUCUCUCCCUUAUCUCCACGUGGUCCUUGGGGACCCUAGGGUAAAGAAAAAAAAAAUCUUAGAAUGUAUAACUUCCACUAGCACCCAACUAUAAUCUUACAAUCUGAAGCCAAUUAAAAGUUUUAAUUUUAUGUAGAUGUUACUCACAGCCAUUCCUCGUGCACCAGCAAGUCCAGGUGGUCCUGAAGGUCCUUGUGCACCCUGAAGUGAAAAGAGUUAUUUUCUUACAGUGUAUACUCAUUAUGUACAGUAAAUGUUCAAUUGGCUUGUUGUGUUACUUACAGUCUCUCCUCUGUCUCCCUGCUUGCCAAGAGGUCCAACAGGUCCAGGGGCACCGGGACCACCAGGAGCACCAGGGGCACCAUUAGGACCAGCGUUUCCUCGCUCUCCCUAUAGAAGAUCACAAAGAGCCGAUUUAUUGGCUGCCAACAGAUCCAUCCCUACCAGGUGGUCCAUCUGAUCCAGGGGUACCCUGAAACACAGAAUCUCUCCAGAAGGUCCAGUAAGUCCAGGGGGUCCUACAGGUCCAGGAGGUCCACGGUCACCAGAAGAGCCAGGUCCUCCUUGUUUACCAGGCUCACCCUAAAAACAAGAAAAGGUCCAGGAAGGCCAGGGAAGCCUCUCUCACCACGCUGUCCAGGCAAACCAACAAUACCACGAGACCCAGCCAGACCCUGAGGACCUGAAGGUCCGUCGGCACCCUACAGAGACAGAAAGGAUAGGAUCUUGCCCCGCUCUCUUCAUAGCAAUUGGAAACAUAAUUAAGUCUGUGAGGAAAACUCACAGGGGGUCCAUCUUCUCCGGGCUCUCCCUUCUCUCCUUGUGCGCCAGCGGGUCCUCGAAGACCAGCAUCUCCAUGUCUUCCUUGGGGUCCAGCGUCACCACGGGCACCCUUUGGUCCGUCUUUUCCAGAAGGACCAGCAGGUCCAACAGCGCCAGGGUUGCCCUGUGAUAGAAAUAACAUGAUUGGAGGUCCAGCAAAGCCAGCAGGCCCAGGAGGACCUCCCUCGCCACGGUCACCCUGUGGGCAAAUAGAGAAGUCUCAAUCAGGAAAGGCUGUUUUCUGUUAGUCUUCUAAUGGUUUUUGCAUGAAAUAAACGCUCAAGAACGAUCAUGUCAGUGUUCCAAACUAUCUACAACUAACUUACUUGAUGUAAUGCAAAUUACAAUUACAAGCUUCAGGUCGGUUGCGAGAGUUCAAUUUAGAGUUUUUAUAGUCAUCAACUAAGCAUAUUCUACCUCUCGCAAUCUAAUACUCCGUGCAUAAAAAGUGUAUGAAGAAUGAACAAAAAAAAGCUAAAUUGACUUAUUACAUUGAACGCAAAGUAACUUGCAGCACAAUAUUGGUUAAAAAAAACUAGAUUAUAUGAACAUUUGUAAAUCCCUCAGUCCCAUGCAUACAGCAUGUUUUUUUUUUGUAAUGUAGAUAUUGACUACAUGUAUAUUCACAUAACAAAUCUAAUUGUUUUUUCUUUGUUUUUAGAAAACCAUAAUCGUCUUACUGAAAGAAUUUUCAAGAUACCCAACCAAACGUCCUAUCGAAAGUUUACAAAAACAUUGUAAACUCGAAAGUUUACAAAAACGUUGCCAUCUUUUUUUUCUAGUGUAGCCACUGAUGCACAGGGGGAUAUACUCACAGGGGCACCACGGACGCCAGGAGCACCAGAAGGCCCAGAAGGUCCAGUCUCACCCUGAAUAGAAGAGAAACAAUCAAAUUAACUAUAUUUAAUAACACAGACUUUAAAUUAGGGGUCCUCGAUUACAUGUAACCAAGGAUCAGUAGGGGCCAGUAUCAUUAAAAUGUAAUUUCCCAUUGAUCUAUCUAGACACUCACAAUGUUUCAGUACAACUGUAUGGCUUCGAUAUGUAAGGUAUGUGAUGUUUGACAGGCCGACUAUUGAGGACCCCUUACUUUGAUGGUAUAUUACAUGUGCAGGUUUAUUGCUUUAAAACACCAGAAGUUGCAGGAUCAAUUUUACCUUGGCUCCAUUGGGUCCAGCUGGGCCAGGAGGACCAAUGGGACCAGUCAAACCCUGAGGAAGAUUAAAAGCAUGAUUAUAAUCUGUGAUUGAUAUAUUUUAAAAAACACAUCACAAGAGACAAUCCCUUUUGGACUCACUCUAGAACCGUCUUUUCCAGGAGCUCCCUCAGGUCCCUUUGCUCCAUUGUCGCCCUGUUGGAAAAAUUAAAAAUAGCAAGUCAACCAUAUGAACAAUUUUAAUAAGGUGAAAAUGACAAGUUUUUAAAGAAGACAUUUACUCUGUCUCCUUUGGGUCCUGGGAUGCCACCAGCUCCUCUCUCUCCAGGCAUACCCUGAAGGCCGGGGGGUCCCUGUGAUCCAGCACUUCCAGCUGGUCCAAUGGCACCCUAACAUAAGAGUACAUCACAUGCCAGUUUAUUUUAGCACAGCAUUCAACAUUACUGUCAUUUGUUACUUUUGGUUAAGAGCUAUAUAACUUGAAGAUGAAGAGUGAGAGGACCCUGAAAUUCUGUAAUUCCUCUCUUACCUUGGGUCCAUCACUUCCAGGUGUUCCAGGAAGUCCACGUGGUCCCUGAAGACCCUGAGGACCAGCACCACCCCUCUCGCCAGGGAAACCACGUUCACCCUUUCAGGACAGAGAUAAAAGAACAGGAAAACUCACUCUAGGUCCAACAGCCCCAGGAGCUCCACCCUCUCCAGGAACACCCUGCAGAGAGAGACAGGAAACAGGUUCAUUCAAGGUUACGCAAUCAUUUUAUACUCAAAGAGAUGUUCUGUUUUGUACCACCUCUGUGCGGAUGUCUUAGUUGGCUUUAGCAUCAAAAACUAUCCAUCAAUGUCCAAUAGAAAGCCAGCAAAGGGACAUGAAGAUGUUUAUCAUUGGGAAAAUGCAAGUUUAAAACCCCAUCUUGACAUGAAGUGAUCCACACUCAUCAUCUACAGGUGAAGGAAAUGUACCGUAUAAUUUCCGGCCUAUAAAGAGUACCUGAAUGUAAGCCACAUCUACCUAAUUUUUGGACUAUUUUUACUUUAUACAUAUAUUGUCCGCACUAGUCUAUAAGCCGUAGUAGGUGUACACAAUGAAACAUUAAAUAAUUACACAGGCUCUAGUCAACUGUCUUCGGCAUUUUGUUUAUUCGUGACUGAAAUUUCGUGUUAAUUUCAUAGAUCCACACCACCGUGACUAUGCUAAUUUAUUUGUGGCAUGUGAAGCUUGUGAAUCCGGAAAAAAAUCCAUACAUUAGCCGACUCAUUGUUUGAAGCGCAGGGGUUCAAAGUGUAGGGAAACAAAGUAGUGACUUACAGCUAGGAAAUUAUGGUAUGUUGCACUGACAAAUUUCUCACCUGAUCUCCGGGUUUUCCAGCCUCUCCUGGGGAACCACUUGGUCCAGGAAGACCCUGUAUAACAAAAACGUUGCAUCAUUUUAUCUGCAGGUCCCUGAGAUACAACAUAAAAAUGUCAACCAAAAACAAGCAGAUUUCUUUUUAACUUGUAGAAUUAAGCACUUACAGCAGGGCCGGGUGGGCCAGCAGAUCCAGUCUCUCCAUCUUUUCCAGGCAGACCCUGUCCACAAAAGUUAGGUUUUUUUAUGAGUUAAUUUCAUAAGGAUAUCUUAUAAAGCAAUCAAUGUGAUGUUUUAAACUCCAUGUAGUACUUACUCUCAGACCAGUGCGACCCAACAGACCUUUUUCUCCAGCCUUUCCAGGCUCACCCUGUUUAAUAGAAAUCAAUCAGCUACAGACACUCUACGUUUGUGAACACAAUUCGAAUUAAACGUUGCGGUAUAGACUUGUCUAGCGCAAUUCUGACAAACGUACAUUGGCUCCUUUUGGACCGGGGAAUCCCAUCACUCCUGGCUGUCCACGGGCUCCCUGAGGACCAGGUGGGCCGGGCCGACCGUCCUCACCAGAGGCGCCCUGUGGUGAUCCAAGAAACACAAAAUAAAACUCAGUGUGUGCAGAUCAAGAUAUAUAUAUCAACUAACUGUAAAUGUAAGGAAAUCGAAAUCAAACAUCAAGUGCUGUCCUGCCUGGUACAUCAAUACCAUUAACCACUAAAGUGGGUGGCAUUGACUGAAACACUUUUUUUCAAAAGAGUUCAUGGACAAAGUUCGACAUUUCUACAUUGUGCAGUGAAGUAACCACUGGUACUCACAGAAGGUCCAACUUUGCCUUGAGGACCAGAAUCUCCAGGACGGCCUGAAGACCUGACUCUCCUGUGCGUCCGGGGUCACCUGUCGCACCCUUAGGCCCAGCAGCACCAGGAACACCACGGUCACCUGGGGCGCCCUGAAGAACACCAAACCCAAGUUGAGACAGACGUCACUCAUUCACCCACCUUAGCACCUGCAAGACCAUCUUGACCAGGGAAUCCACGGUUGCCAGGGGCGCCCUAAGUCCAAGUGGUCCUGCUGCACCAGGUUCUCCUCUAGCGCCUCUCUUUCCUUCUUCGCCAGCAGGACCGGGUGCACCAAGGGGACCAGCGGGGCCCUGGAAAGAUCAGGUUAUGCCAGUGUACAGUAGCAUUGCCUUAGUCUAAUUCUAAUAGGAGUUUUAGUCCAUAAUAAGUAAAAAGAAACACUUACAAGCUCUCCCUUUGGUCCAGCUUCACCUUUAAAUCCAGGAAGACCAGGGUCACCCUAAACCAGAAGAUGAGAAAACCGCAAGGAAUGAGUGUUUGUGAGCAACCUCCAGAGCUAUACAGGUGAUUCUCAAGCAACUCACAGACUGUCCUUUGGGUCCCAGAGGGCCUGUUGCCCCUUGUGGUCCAGGAGGACCCCGAGGGCCGGGGAAGCCAGGAGCGCCAGCAAUACCAGGACCUCCCUUGAAAGAACAACAAACCAAAUGUCAGAACCAAGAGAAAUUGAGAGGGAAAUAUCAAAAUGAGAAGAGUGGUCUUACAGCAGAUCCUUUAGCUCCGGGGAUACCAUCAGUUCCGGGGUUUCCCUGUUAAACACAGACAGAAGAUAGUGGGUCACAAUAAGAACUCAAGGACCAUAAAAAGAGCUUUCUGCUACAUAAAUCAAUGUGGUGGGUAAUGACAAACCGAAGCCCCAGCAGGUCCGGGAGAUCCUGGAGUGCCAGCCUCUCCUCGGGGACCCUGUUGGCCUUCGGCUCCACGAGCUCCAGUUGGACCAGCUUCUCCCUGCCAGGACACAACAACAACAUUUGUACCUCCAUAGAGACAUAACUAUAUAUGUGUCACAUAAUGAAGGUUAGUGAAUACAUACCUUGGCUCCUGGAGAUCCGGGGAAACCAGGGGCUCCAGCCGGACCAACAGGUCCCUAAAGAAAAAGACAACCUGUAGGCGGCCCAGCAGGUCCAGGCAAUCCAUCAUUUCCACGAGCACCCUGUGGAGUAAGAACAAGACACUCAGGCCAUUGAGUUGUCCACUUUCUAAAGGACAGGAAGCGUAAACAAGCUAAAAGGACAACUCACUGCUGCUCCAGCAGCACCUGGACGUCCCCUCUCACCAGGACACUCACCAUGGGUCCAGGGGCGCCAUUCUCUCCAGAAGAACCAGCCUCACCCUGAGAAAGAAAAGAGCCUCAGAUCAACCUGAACUAUUAGGAGAAUCCAGUAAUACUAUUUUGAAAAGCGCUGCUCUCACCUUUGCACCAGCAGUGCCAGUCUCUCCCUUAGCCCCAUCCAGACCAGGGUGACCCUACGAAGAAGACGACAAGACUGAUGCCUCAAGCAAGCAGUGUCAUAUUGUGAAGGCCAGGAGUUCCGGGGAAUCCUCGAGCUCCCUGAAAUUCAAAGAGAAAAGUCCAGCGGGUCCACGUUCUCCAGAUUUUCCAGGUUUGCCAGCCUCACCCUGGAAUAAAACAUGGAGUUGAUGGGUUCUUCUUGAAAUUCAGCAACAGCUGGUCCACGAGUUCCCUGGUCACCUGGGGGCCCCUGCAAGAGCAAAUAUAUCUCAAGUCAGCGACAUUCCAUGUGUGGCUAACACCUGCUCCCACCACUUUAUACCAAGAAACAACUUUUAGCAGCCUGAAUGGAUCCUAGAAGAACAUAAUACUUACCAUUGGGCCGGCUGGUCCUCUUGGUCCUACAACCUGCAGAGAUCGGCGGCACCAUGCACUCAAACCCUCCAAAGACUAAGUGGAAUCCAACGCGGGGCCCCAGCUGGCACUCUGCACCCACCGCGUCAGGGCAAGCACCGCGGUUUUAUGUCCACUGUGCCUUGUAUGGAUCUUCGUAUAUUCCAAAAUACCAGUCCUUCCCCCAGACCUCCUGUCAAGCUGAAACCUGAACCUUCCAUCCCUCCCCUCAAUCCUGCACCAUCUACUCUCCCAGGGAUUUUUUUUUUUUUUUUUUUUACUCAAGCCCACCUUCCUCCCUGACCUGUUUGGCCUGGCCGAGCGAUGCACCUUCACUUUCAUUACACUGAAAAUGAUUCUUGGGUGGACAGUGGGCCUUCUGAUGGCUUCAUAUACAGUGGGGCAAAAAAGUAUUUAGUCAGCCAGUUCUCCCACUUAAAAUGAAUGAUGACUGAGGUCUGUAAUUUUCAUCAUAGGUACACUUCAACUGUGAGAGACAGAAUGUGAAAGAAAAAUCCAGGAAUUCACAUUGUAGGAAUUUUAAAUAAUUUAUUUGUAAAUUAUGGUUGAAAAUAAGUAUUUGGUCAACCAUUCAAAGCUCUCACUGAUGGAAGGAGGUUUUGGCUCAAAAUCUCACGAUACAUGGCCCCAUUCAUUCUUUCCUUAA